ACAUUUUUUUAUGAAUAAAGUUUAUUUUCUUAAAUAAAGAAAAUCUGUUCUUAUCAGUUCAAUAUCUGACAUAUGCCUUAUCAAGGAACCAUGUAUUAAAUGGAUUUUUGGAACAGAGUGAUGGAAUAUGGGCUUGCUCCAUCCACUUCACUCCACAAGUUCACCCAGUAUUGCAGUGCCUCUAGGAAUAGCACUCUUC